AUACUGAGUGGCAAACGGGUGAGUAUAAUGUGCGAAUCUGCCUUUUGGUUCGGAAUAACACGAGGAAACUUGUGCUAAUACCGGAUAAGCCCUUACGGGGAAAGUUUUAAUGCCAAAAGAUGAGCCCGCACUUGAUUAGCUAGUUGGUAAGGUAAUGGCUUACCAAGGCAACGAUCAGUAGCUGUUCUUAGAGGAAGACCAGCCACAUUGGGACUGAGACACGGCCCAAACUCCUACGGGAGGCAGCAGUGGGGAAUCUUGCACAAUGGGGGAAACCCUGAUGCAGCGAUGCCGCGUGAGUGAAGAAGGCCCUUGGGUUGUAAAACUCUUUCGUCGGGGAAGAAAAUGACUGUACCCGAAUAAGAAGGUCCGGCUAACUUCGUGCCAGCAGCCGCGGUAAUACGAAGGGACCUAGCGUAGUUCGGAAUUACUGGGCUUAAAGAGUUCGUAGGUGGUUAAAAAAGUUGAUGGUGAAAUCCCAAGGCUCAACCUUGGAACUGCCAUCAAAACUUUUUAGCUAGAGUGUGAUAGAGGAAAGUGGAAUUUCUAGUGUAGAGGUGAAAUUCGUAGAUAUUAGAAAGAACAUCAAAAGCGAAGGCAACUUUCUGGAUCAUUACUGACACUGAGGAACGAAAGCAUGGGUAGAGAAGAGGAUUAGAUACCCUCGUAGUCCAUGCCGUAAACGAUGUGUGCUAGACGUUGGAAACUUAGUUUUCAGUGUCGCAGCGAAAGCAUUAAGCACACCGCCUGGGGAGUACGACCGCAAGGUUAAAACUCAAAUGAAUUGACGGGGACCCGCACAAGUAGUGGAGCA
rnacentral:rRNA from 1 species